GGCCAAGUUCAGGGCUGGUGCUCUCGUUCAGAUAGAUUUAGCUGGUGGUGCAGAGAUCCGUGAGCUUGCUUUUACAGGACUUUAAUGAUAUAUAAAAGCAGCACGAGGUGCUCCUGACUGUGGAUUAAUUUGGAGAUGACUUUCUCUGUUGAAGAGUAGCAAGACUCUCGCGAGUUCUUAAAAAUGCACUUGUUUGGUAUGAGAAUGAAAAGCAGUGGCUGAAGAACCAAUCUUCAAUGGGCAAGCCUUCUCUGUGUCUGUUCUAACACGUGCCAUUUGGGAUCCCUUGGAAUCUUCAUGUACAGAACUGGUUGCUGCCUCGUUGAGUCGGUGGGGACAGAAUAGCUCCUGGUUGACAGCAUGGGUUGUGCAGAAGGACGGAUCCUGCAGACAUCAAUAUCUGGCUUUGAGUGGCACAAAGAAAUAAAGGAAUGUGGAUUCAGACCUCACUGGGAUGCUUGGCAAUUCUAAUUCUACCCCAGACUGCAAAUGGACACACAACUGUUGUGACUUUUGUUGAAGAGGAGAAGGAUGGCACAGAAGCUGGAUUCAGAAGCACACAGGUCUGGGGAUGCAGGCUUCGGCCAGCCUGAUGCAAGGAAAGACUGCCAUCUCGUGGUCAGCUCAAUCCUGGCACCUUGGUGAGGGACCAGGCUGCAGAAAACCAGGCUUGGGGAGGAAACGGUGCUGCAAACUGGAUUUCUGCCGGACAGUGUGGAUGCCCUUAGAAAACACCCAGAAAAGAGCUGAGUGCCCCCCAAGACUUGCCCUGAAUUCUUUCAUGUGCAAUAUCCGAAAACCCUCUCUUGGGGCCUGGAUCAGGACCCCUUUCCUAUAACAUCUUUCUGGCGACAACAAAGGGACAAUGGUGUGGAAUCCCCCUUCCCAAAUGCUACUUUUAGAUAUCACCUUUUGUCGGAACUUGGAGUUGGUAAUGACCUUCACCAUACCACCACUCUGGGACUGAGCUUCUCUCUACCCUGAUGCAAGAGACCCUAAUAGGCAGGAAUAUGACCACCCCUAUUCAGCCUGAAGAAGUUACAGAAGUUCUGAAACCCUUAGAAAUGAGGGUCUUCUUGUAAAGGGAGUGGGGAGAUAUAUCAGAGGCAUUUGAACCAGAGCAACUCCAUCUUGAGUGAGGGCUAGGAAAAUGAGGCUAGGACUUGCUGGGCUGCAUUCUCAGAAAGUCAGUCAUUCCUAGCCUCUAGAUGUUUACGGUUAAGGGAACAAAUUUAUAACAUUUACUAAACACACCCAGACUUGGGAGUGUCCAGAUAUCCCAAUAUCUGGAGAACAAAGGCAUUCCUAAUUUUGCUUUAAAGACAAUAAUAUUGAUUCUUGCAAAAUAUAGUAAUUAAGAAAAUUAAUCCUUUAUCACAAACCCUUGUAGUAAAACACAUCUCCCCAUAUAUACAAGCAUUGUACCUAAGGUGGAUGCGUUCCAUCUCUUACUUUCAGGAAUGUCCUACACUAUCUAAGGAGUAGCUGUACUUUCACCACUUUACUUUCUUAAUAAACUUGUUUUUACUUUGCACCAAGGACUUGCACUGAAUUCUUUCUUGCGUGAGAUCCAAAAACCCUCUGUUCGGGUCUGGAUUGGGACCCCUUUCCUAUAACAUCCUUCUGGCAACCACAGAAGGGACUAUAGUGUGGAAACUCCCUUCCUAAAUGCUGCUUUUGGGUAAGUGUUGGAGUCCUGUAACAUAUUUCUGGCUGUCACAGAACAGAUUAUAGUGCAGAAACCCUGACCCAAAGGCUACCUUUGAGUAAGUGCUGGGGUCCUGUAAUAAUAUCAAAACCAGGAAAGGACAUAACCAAAAAAGAAAACUACAUUCCAAUAUUCCUGAUGAACAUAGAUGCAAAAAUCCUUAACAAAAUGCUAGCUAACCGAAUCCAACAACAUAUCAAAAAGAUAAUCC
rnacentral:lncRNA from 1 species